rnacentral:rRNA from 1 species
AGAGUUUGAUCMUGGCUCAGAUUGAACGCUGGCGGCGUGCUUAACACAUGCAAGUCGAACGAGAAAGGGGCUUCGGCCCUGAGUACAGCGGCGAACGGGUGAGUAUCGCGUGGGARACCUGCCUUCGAGUGGGGGAUAACACUCCUAACGGGGUGCUAAUACCGCAUGACACCCUCGGAUCGCAUGGUCCCGAGCGUCAAAGGUGGCCUCUACUUGUAAGCUACCGCUUGAAGAUGGUCCCGCGUCCGAUUAGCUAGUUGGCGGGGURACGGCCCACCAAGGCGACGAUCGGUAGCUGGUCUGAGAGGAUGGUCAGCCACACUGGGACUGAGAUACGGCCCAGACUCCUACGGGAGGCAGCAGUCGAGAGGCUUCGGCAAUGGGGGAAACCCUGACCGAGCGACGCCGCGUGGGGGAUGAAGGCCCUUGGGUUGUAAACCCCUUUUAUUCGGGAAGAAAUGCGAUCAGGUGAAUAAUCUGGUCGUUUGACGGUACCGAAUGAAUAAGCUCCGGCUAACUCCGUGCCAGCAGCCGCGGUAAUA